rnacentral:rRNA from 1 species
CCUCUUCCCAUUCCGAACAGAGUAGUUAAGCCCCGCACCGCCAAUGGUACUGCAUGGGGGACUGUGUGGGAGAGUAGGUAGCUGCCGACU